rnacentral:rRNA from 1 species
GAUGAACGCUGGCGGCGUGCCUAAUACAUGCAAGUCGAGCGAACAGACGAGGAGCUUGCUCCUCUGACGUUAGCGGCGGACGGGUGAGUAACACGUGGAUAACCUACCUAUAAGACUGGGAUAACUUCGGGAAACCGGAGCUAAUACCGGAUAAUAUAUUGAACCGCAUUGUUCAAUAGUGAAAGACGGUUUUGCUGUCACUUAUAGAUGGAUCCGCGCCGCAUUAGCUAGUUGGUAAGGUAACGGCUUACCAAGGCAACGAUGCGUAGCCGACCUGAGAGGGUGAAUGGCGACACUGGAACUGAGACAAGGUCCAGAGUCCUACGAGAGGCAGCAGUAGGGAAUAUUCCGCAAUGGGCGAAAGAAUGACGGAGCAACGCCGCGUGAGUGAUGAAGGUCUUCGGAUAGUAAAACUCUGUUAUUAGGGAAGAACAAAUGUGUAAGUAACUAUGCACGUCUUGACGGUACCUAAUCAGAAAGCCACGGCUAACUACGUG